UACGAAGGGGGCUAGCGUUGCUCGGAAUCACUGGGCGUAAAGCGCACGUAGGCGGAUUUCUAAGUCAGGGGUGAAAUCCUGGAGCUCAACUCCAGAACUGCCUUUGAUACUGGCGAUCUCGAGUCCGGGAGAGGUGAGUGGAACUGCGAGUGUAGAGGUGAAAUUCGUAGAUAUUCGCAAGAACACCAGUGGCGAAGGCGGCUCACUGGCCCGGUACUGACGCUGAGGUGCGAAAGCGUGGGGAGCAAACAGG
rnacentral:rRNA from 1 species